UACGGCCAUAUCGCUUUCAAGCUCCGGUACCCGUGCGAUCAACGAAGUUAAACGGCGCCGAUCUUCGACAGUAUCUAGAUGGGUGAUCGCUUGAGAGUACUAGGUGCUGUAA